AGUUCUUGCAGAACCAACACCCUGUAGUAAAUGAUGCAAACUAUGUCAAUUUCAUGGCUUUGCAGGUAAAAAACUAAGUUCCUAAUCUUCUAGCUGCCAUGGUAAUGAUGACAAUAAAUCAAAAAUAGAUUCUGGAGCUUCAAUUCACACGUGUGAUGAUUUUACUCUAUUUCACAAUCGCUCAAAAUUAAAAAAAAAAACAAUUUUUUUACACCACUAAAUGGAACUACAAAACUUGUUUUCUACAGUGGAG
rnacentral:misc_RNA from 1 species